GCGCUGGUGGCGGAAUUGGUAGACGCGCAAGGUUGAGGGCCUUGUGGCCCGUUGGGCCGUGGAGGUUCAAGUCCUCUCCAGCGCACCU
rnacentral:tRNA from 1 species